rnacentral:ncRNA from 1 species
UUCUGGGAGGAUUGACAGAUUCAAAGCUCUUUCUCGAUUCGGUGGAUGGUGGUGCAUGUCCGUUCUUAGUUGGAGGAGUGAUUUGUCUGGUUAAUUCCAAUAACGAACGAGACUCUAGCCUAUUAAAUAGGUGCGUGGUUCUCUGCACCUUGCACCCUUCUUAAGGCCCAUACGCACAUUCGCGUUUGAGCGCGGUGCGUUCCGUAGCGGCAAGCGGACGCGUUGCGUUGCGAAGACCGCUUGCGCCAUGCUUGUACGCACAGUUGCGUUGACACGCAGGCAACCGCAGUCAAGAGCCAAUAAGAACGCGCUAUCGUCGCUAGUGGCUCACCAAUAGUAAGCGAAAUCCAAGGCAACAUGGCGGCGCACGGCGACAGCGUCGGUGUUCGAUCUUGGGACAACCUCGCCGGCUUCCCCAACGUUCUGUCAAGCUUGAACCAUCGCAGCCUUGGAAAAUACAGUCCCCACCGCUCCCCAAAACGAAAAAGCAAGCACUGCGACCCGCGAACCGGAUACGUCUCGCCGAGUCGGCCGGGUGGGGCGAGCGAACACGUCAUCCCCUCUCCUCUUUCGGUUUCUGAUUGGUCGAACGCACUCGAACGCACCGCAACGCUUCGGAAAGUUGAGCAAGUCUCUACUCGCUUGCGUCGCGCUACCGAGCGUU